CUAGCAAAAUCCUGCCUACAGCAGCUUUAACUGCAGGCUGUUUUAUUACUCGUUUGCAAUUGUGGCCUGUUCAUUUGUGUCUGUUGCUGCCAUCAGUGGGAAAAUAGAAAAGGAUUGUUCUGCAUUUUAUUCAUUUGCACUGACUUCAGGCUGCCUAACUUUGCAUUUGCAGAAUGCACAGAAAUGCACUGAAAUCAAAAUUAAACAGCUUAUUUUCAUUUUAUAUAACCUAUUUACCUUUUCAAAAGGCUGCUGUUCUAUUUGUAUAGUUGCAGACUGUGUUUUAACUGCAGGUGUUUUAUUGCACUGUUACCCAGAUAAUGGAAAAGAGAAGAGGAUUGUAUUAUUGAAGUUUGAAGAGGAUUGCACUUUAUUUCCAUGGGAAGGUCUGACAUUACAGGAUGCCUAUUAAUAAUAGCUCCUCUAUGCAGGCCUACAUCUUCAUUUCUUGACGACUGGACAGUCCUUAUUUGUUGAAGCUCUUCAGUAUUGGAUGUUGAAGACAACCAGAAGGCUAUGGACGAGACGGCCCGGGUAAACUUAUGCCAUCACCGUUGAAGGUGCAGAGCCCACAGACUGCCUGGCAGAUGUUGGAAUUAUCUGUGAAGGAGUGAAUGUGCUCCAUGAACUCGUUGACAUUGCAGAUGCUGUCGCCAUUUUGCUUGGCCUCAUGUACUUGCUUGACUUGAGGUAUCCAACAAAUCUCAAGUAUACAUUUGAAGUUCUGCAGAAGCUUGUCCUGGAGCUUGAUGCCAACAAACUGUCAACGAAGGUGCAAGUGCUGAAGAACAAACUCUUUGAAGGAACGCCUCAGGCAGGUGCUGUGCUGCAUUUGGAUCUGCAUGUUCUGUGAGGAAUGGACUCGGUGUUGCAGACUGGAUGCCGAACUGUUCAAUGGACAGUGAUGCAGUGAUGGGUGAAUAUUGAUCGUGGUAGCACUGAGGAGAAACAAAACUUUAACAUUUGGUUUUAGUGCCAUUAAAAAAAAUGCAAGUUCUCUGUCAUAAGAUUUUGGAAAUGUUUGUGGAAAAUGCAUUUUCCUCAAUGACUGUUGUGGACUACUUUGUUUUUUAGUCCAAAUGAGAUUGCCUUACUGAAGUGGCAUGAAGCACAAUAUUAUUGAGUGUUUUUACUUGACACAAAUGUGUGUUCACAAUUCCUAAGGUCUCACUGUUCAGUGUUAUAAGCAAUUUAGAUUCAGAUGCUUUUACGCAAUUAAUAUGUAUUUGUUAUUUGUUUUCAUUGAGCAGUUUCAUGCAGUGCUGAAGUGGCAUCAAGCAAAAUAGUUUUUUUGCUUAACAAAUGUGUGUUCACAAUAAGGUCUCACUGUUCAGUAUUGUGAGCAUUUCAGAUGCAUUUGUUUGCAGUGGACAGUUUCUAACAUCGAUGUUAAAAAUUCUCUGA